rnacentral:rRNA from 1 species
UACGUAGGGUGCAAGCGUUGUCCGGAUUUAUUGGGCGUAAAGAGCGUGUAGGCGGCUUUACAGGUCCGUUGUGAAAACUCGAGGCUCAACCUCGAGACGCCGGUGGAAACCGUAAGGCUAGAGUCCGGAAGAGGAGAGUGGAAUUCCUGGUGUAGCGGUGGAAUGCGCAGAUAUCAGGAGAACACCAAUGGCGAAGGCAGAUCUCUGGGCCGUAACUGACGCUGAGGAGCGAAAGCGUGGGGAGCGAACAGG